CACCCCCUAGCUCAGCUGGUUAGAGCAUCUCACUUUUAAUGAGAGGGUCCUGGGUUCGAGCCCCAGGGGGGUGACCA
rnacentral:tRNA from 1 species